rnacentral:rRNA from 1 species
AGAAUCAACGCUGGCGGCGUGCCUAACACAUGCAAGUCGAACGAGAAAGUGGAGCAAUCCAUGAGUAAAGUGGCGCACGGGUGAGUAACACGUGACUAACCUACCCUUGAGUGGGGAUAAACCUAGAGAAAUCUGGGCUAAUACCGCAUAAUACCUUCGGGUCAAAGGAGCAAUUCGCUUAAGGAGGGGUCGCGGCCGAUUAGUUAGUUGGCGGGGUAAUGGCCCACCAAGACUGUGAUCGGUA